UUCUAUCCUGGUAACAUGGCCUCACAUCCCGCACAGCGCAGCUUCUAUCCAGGUAACAUGGCCUCACAUCCCGCACAGCGCAGCUUCUAUCCAGGUAUUGCGGCCUCACAUCCCGCACAGCGCAGCUUCUAUCCAGGUAACAUGGCCUCACAUCCCGCACAGCGCAGCUUCUAUCCAGGUAUCGCGGCCUCACAUCCCGCACAGCGCAGCUUCUAUCCAGGUAACAUGGCCUCACAUCCCGCACAGUGCAGCUUCUUUCCAGGUAUUGCGGCAUCACAUCCCGCACAGCGCAGCUUCUAUCCAGGUAACAUGGCCUCACAUCCCGCACAGCGCAGCUUCUAUCCAGGUAUUGCGGCAUCACAUCCCGCACAGCGCAGCUUCUAUCCAGGUAACAUGGCCUCACAUCCCGCACAGCGCAGCUUCUAUCCAGGUAACAUGGCCUCACAUCCCGCACAGCGCAGCUUCUAUCCAGGUAACAUGGCCUCACAUCCCGCACAGCGCAGCUUCUAUCCAGGUAUCGCGGCCUCACAUCCCGCACAGUGCAACUUCUAUCCAGGUAACAUGGCAUCACAUCCCGCACAGCGCAGCUUCUAUCCUGGUAUCAUGGUGUCACGUCCCACCCAGCACAGCUGCUAUACCAGUAACACUGUCACGUCCCGUCCACCAAAGCUUCUAUCCAGGGAUCACGGAGUCACAUCAUGGCCAGCACAGCUUCUAUCCAGGUAACAUGGCGUCCCGGCCAGUGCAGCUUUUAUCCAGGUAAAACAGCGUCACAUGGCCAGCGCAGCUUCUAUCCAGGUAAAAUGGCUUCUCGUUCCGCCCAGCGCAGCUUCUGUCCAGGUUACAGUGUCACGUCCCUAUUGGCACAGCUGCUAUCCCGGUAACGCACCGUCGCGUCCCGCCAAGCGCACUUUAUAUAUUGCUAUAUACAUUCAUUCUCCCUAUUCCCACAACAUUUCCACCUGAGGUCCACACAACUUUCCUACAUUUCUUAAUAUUUUUUUUUAGAAAAA